AAACUUUGGAACUGUGUUUAUAUGAGAUGUAUAUAUUCAGUCUUCAAUGGCAAUGGAGUACAAUAGAAUAUUGCCUUGAAGAAACUGACUUUUUUAUAUAAAGAAUUAUCCAACAAAAGUGUUCAAUGAUAUCUAAAAGAGAUGAAAGACUGAGUAAUACUAAAAGCUCAAAUUGAAGUUUUCUAUGAGAUUGGUGGAUUAAUUGCAUGAACAGUCAGACAACUGGCACACUUAUGCUAUAAGUAUAGCUAUUAAAAUAAAAUAAAGGACUUGUAUAAUAACAUUUAUGUACUAUAAAGAAUAAAUGCUCCUACAUAAUGUGCUAUAGAGAAGAUAUGUUCCUACAUAAUGCUCUAUAGUGAAGACAGAUGUUCCUAAGUUGCACGAAGUAUUUAGAAGACAGACAGAUUCCUUUUACAAUGAAGUAUCUAGAACACAUAGCUGAUCAGAUUUGCAGCUCUCCAUUUUAUAUUCUGAUGAGAAAACAUUCUUGAGAAAAAACUAAGAUUAAUUGUUCAUAUUCUUCCUGAAAAGAGAAAUAUGUGAAAUUUAAGCUGGCAGAGAUCAUGAAUGGAGGAUUAUUUGCUUGAUGACUUCAGAUUUCCUGUUCCACAACUUGUUCUAAAGAAAAUCCUAGGACUUUGGAGCAUAAGUUUAUAUAAUCUAGAUUGAUGCAGCAUUGAAUAUCUUAAGAGAUUAGAAUGGACAAUAUUCUGAGUAAUUAAUGAUGUACAACAAAUUGUGCUACAAGUUCAAACCAGCAAAAUAAACUGAGUAUAAUAUAGCACUGUGAACUGAUGGGAGUAUAAUAUAGCACUGUGAACUGAUGGGAGUAUAAUAUAGCACUGAACCUUACUUUGUACAUGGUUGAUAACCAGCAUUUGAUAGAAGUAAAACAAAAGAGCAGGAUCUCACCUCAUACAAGUGAGGAGGAACUGAUGAACUUACAAGAAAGAAAGAAAAACAGAAAGAGACAGAUUAAAUCAUAAGAGUAAAGGGAAAAGGAAACUAGCAACACUCUGAAAUUAAGAAGAGAAAUAAUCACCAAUAUAUACAGAGGUUAGGUCUCUGACAGUCUCAACUGAUGGUCAUUGAAACAUCUCAAGGUUAUACAAUAUGAGAAUAACAGAGACACAUGGAAUAAGGAAAGAGAAAAUUUAACUUGUAGACUAAAGGUAUUAGAAAAAUACUGAAAAUAACAGAAGCAAUCAACAUAGCAGCUACCUUAUCACCAACUUAGAGGUUAGAGCUGACUCAACUGAUGAACAUAGAACAAACUUUAACAUAUUAACAGCAUAGAAAAACAAUCAACAUGUCCAAGACUUAUAUUCUUGUCAAUUAAAAUAUAUGAAUGAAUUUUCAUAAUAGUAUAUGGUCAGCGGGAGAGAGAGAAAGAUAUAGAAGGUCAGAGAGGGAGAGGGAGAACACUAUUAAUGAUGAGUGGGGAGAGAGAAGAAACAAAUAUUGCAACAUGUAAAUUUGUCUUCAACCAAAACACAUGGCUUGCGUUGAUGUGUCUUACCUUAGACAUAUAAUAUUUUUAUUAUAUAGAUCUCUGUUAAAAAACAUGUGAAAAAUAACAUGAAAACAAAAUUGAAACAGAGUUUUAGAUCAUAAACAGUAAGGGUGGUGUAAAAAGGUGGGCAUAUUUAAAAUUUUCUUUUUUUUUCACCAAUAUAUUUAUGAAAUUUAAAACUUAUAAUUGAGAAUGUUUAAUAAGACGUACAAUUCUUUUGAAUUUAGAUAUUUGGAGACAAAACCUAUUCUUCUCUAUUUAUUGUACCCUAAUAGUGUCAUAAAGCAAUAUUCGUAUCCUUGCUUAUACCUUGAACCUUAGACAUCUAAUAUUUUUAUUACCUAGAACUCUGUAAAAAAAAAAUGACAAAAAAUAAUAUGAAAACAAAAUUGUAAACAGAGUUCUAGAUAAUAAACAUUAAGGAUGGUGUAAAUAGUGAGUAUGCUUCAAAAUUCACACCGGGCAACCCCACCCCAAAUAUUUUUAUGAAAUUAAAUACAACAUAUAUUAUUGUGAAUGAUUUGUGUUUGAUAAGUUUUCUUUUCAUUAGUUAUAUUAUAUUGAUUGGUAAGCUGUACAUUUUUCUUAUGUAUUGAAAAUGGCUUUAAAGUUUAAAUGUUUAAUCGGAAGUAGAAUUUAUUUAAUAUUAGACAUUGGAGACAAAACCUAUCUUCCCCAUAUAUUAAACUAAAACAGUGUCUUAAAUUUGAAAUAUUCUUAUUUUGAAUGUCUUUGCUUAUAGCUUUACCCUAAGACAUCCAAUAUGUUUAUUAUCUAGAGCUCUGUAAAAAAAAAAAAAAAAAAAAUGUAGAAAAAUAAAAAUAACAAAAAAUAAUAUGAAAACAAAAUUGUAAACAGAGUUCUAGAUAAUAAACAUUAAGGAUGGUUUAAAUAGUGAGUAUGCUUCAAAAUUCACACCGGGCAACCCCACCCCAAAUAUUUUUAUGAAAUUAAAUACAACAUAUAUUAUUGUGAAUGAUUUGUGUUUGAUAAGUUUUCUUUUCAUUAGUUAUAUUAUAUUGAUUGGCCAGCUGUACAUUUUUCUUAUGUAUUGAAAGUGGCUUUAAAGUUUACAUGUUUAAUCAGAAGUAGAAUUCUUUCAAUAUUAGAUAUUGGAGACAAAACAUAUCUUCCCCAUAUAUUAAACUAAAACAGUGUCUUAAAUUUGCAAUAUU